UACAGGGGGUGCAAACGUUGCUCGGAAUUAUUGGGCGUAAAGCGCGCGUAGGCGGCUACUUAAGUCGGAUGUGAAAGCCCUUGGCUCAACUGAGGAAGUGCACCCGAAACUGAGUGGCUUGAGUACUAAAGAGGGUCGCGGAAUUCCCGGUGUAGAGGUGAAAUUCGUAGAUAUCGGGAGGAACACCGGUGGCGAAGGCAGCUCGCUGGGACGUGACUGACGCUGAGACGCGAAAGCGUGGGGAGCAAACAGG
rnacentral:rRNA from 1 species